rnacentral:rRNA from 1 species
UACGUAGGGUGCGAGCGUUGUCCGGAAUUAUUGGGCGUAAAGGGCUCGUAGACGGUCUGUCGCGUCGGGAGUGAAAACUCAGGGCUUAACCCUGAGCCUGCUUCCGAUACGGGCAGACUAGAGGUAUGCAGGGGAGAACGGAAUUCCUGGUGUAGCGGUGGAAUGCGCAGAUAUCAGGAGGAACACCGGUGGCGAAGGCGGUUCUCUGGGGAUUACCUGACGCUGAGGAGCGAAAGUGUGGGGAGCGAACAGG